UACGUAGGGGGCUAGCGUUGUCCGGAAUCAUUGGGCGUAAAGCGCGUGUAGGCGGUCCGGUAAGUCCGCUGUGAAAGUCGGGGGCUCAACCCUCGGAUGCCGGUGGAUACUGUCGGGCUUGAGUACGGAAGAGGCGAGUGGAAUUCCUGGUGUAGCGGUGAAAUGCGCAGAUAUCAGGAGGAACACCAAUUGCGAAGGCAGCUCGCUGGGACGUUACUGACGCUGAGUGAGCGAAAGCCAGGGGAGCAAACGGG
rnacentral:rRNA from 1 species